rnacentral:rRNA from 1 species
UACAGAGGCCUCGAGCGUUAGGCGGAAUCACUGGGCUUAAAGGGUGCGUAGGCUGCGCAGCAAGUUGGGUGUGAAAUCCCCCGGCUCAACCGGGGAACGGGCGCCGAUACGACCGCCCUGGAGGGGCGUAGGGGGACCUGGAACUUCCGGUGGAGCGGUGAAAUGCGUUGAGAUCGGAAGGAACGCCCGUGGCGAAAGCGAGGUCCUGGACGUCUACUGACGCUGAGACGCGAAAGCCAGGGGAGCGAACGGG